rnacentral:rRNA from 1 species
CCUACGGGAGGCAGCAGUGGGGAAUAUUGCACAAUGGGGGAAACCCUGAUGCAGCAACGCCGCGUGAGCGAUGAAGGCCUUCGGGUCGUAAAGCUCUGUUCUAUGGGAAGAAAAAUGACGGUACCAUAGGAGGAAGCCCCGGCUAACUACGUGCCAGCAGCCGCGGUAAUACGUAGGGGGCGAGCGUUGUCCGGAAUGACUGGGCGUAAAGGGUACGUAGGCGGCUAGAUAAGUCAGAUGUGAAAGGCAUAGGCUUAACCUGUGUAAGCAUUUGAAACUGUCUUACUAGAGUGCAGGAGAGGAAAGCGGAAUUCCUAGUGUAGCGGUGAAAUGCGUAGAUAUUAGGAAGAACACCAGUGGCGAAGGCGGCUUUCUGGACUGUAACUGACGCUGAGGCACGAAAGCGUGGGGAGCAAACAGGAUUAGAUACCCUUGUAGUC